UGAGUUUGAUCAUGGCUCAGAUUGAACGCUGGCGGCAGGCUUAACACAUGCAAGUCGAGCGGAGUGAUGGUGCUUGCACUAUCACUUAGCGGCGGACGGGUGAGUAAUGCUUAGGAAUCUGCCAUUUAGUGGGGGACAACAUUCCGAAAGGAAUGCUAAUACCGCAUACGUCCUACGGGAGAAAGCAGGGGAUCUUCGGACCUUGCGCUAAAUGAUGAGCCUAAGUCGGAUUAGCUAGUUGGUGGGGUAAAGGCCUACCAAGGCGACGAUCUGUAGCGGGUCUGAGAGGAUGAUCCGCCACACUGGGACUGAGACACGGCCCAGACUCCUACGGGAGGCAGCAGUGGGGAAUAUUGGACAAUGGGCGGAAGCCUGAUCCAGCCAUGCCGCGUGUGUGAAGAAGGCCUUUUGGUUGUAAAGCACUUUAAGCGAGGAGGAGGCUACUAGUACUAAUACUACUGGAUAGUGGACGUUACUCGCAGAAUAAGCACCGGCUAACUCUGUGCCAGCAGCCGCGGUAAUACAGAGGGUGCGAGCGUUAAUCGGAUUUACUGGGCGUAAAGCGUGCGUAGGCGGCUUUUUAAGUCGGAUGUGAAAUCCCCGAGCUUAANUUGGGAAUUGCAUUCNAUACUGGGAAGCUAGAGUAUGGGAGAGGAUGGUAGAAUUCCAGGUGUAGCGGUGAAAUGCGUAGAGAUCUGGAGGAAUACCGAUGGCGAAGGCAGCCAUCUGGCCUAAUACUGACGCUGAGGUACGAAAGCAUGGGGAGCAAACAGGAUUAGAUACCCUGGUAGUCCAUGCCGUAAACGAUGUCUACUAGCCGUUGGGGCCUUUGAGGCUUUAGUGGCGCAGCUAACGCGAUAAGUAGACCGCCUGGGGAGUACGGUCGCAAGACUAAAACUCAAAUGAAUUGACGGGGGCCCGCACAAGCGGUGGAGCAUGUGGUUUAAUUCGAUGCAACGCGAAGAACCUUACCUGGUCCUGACAUAGUAAGAACUUUCCAGAGAUGGAUUGGUGCCUUCGGGAACUUACAUACAGGUGCUGCAUGGCUGUCGUCAGCUCGUGUCGUGAGAUGUUGGGUUAAGUCCCGCAACGAGCGCAACCCUUUUCCUUAUUUGCCAGCGGGUUAAGCCGGGAACUUUAAGGAUACUGCCAGUGACAAACUGGAGGAAGGCGGGGACGACGUCAAGUCAUCAUGGCCCUUACGACCAGGGCUACACACGUGCUACAAUGGUCGGUACAAAGGGUUGCUACCUAGCGAUAGGAUGCUAAUCUCAAAAAGCCGAUCGUAGUCCGGAUUGGAGUCUGCAACUCGACUCCAUGAAGUCGGAAUCGCUAGUAACCGCGGAUCAGAAUGCCGCGGUGAAUACGUUCCCGGGCCUUGUACACACCGCCCGUCACACCAUGGGAGUUUGUUGCACCAGAAGUAGGUAGUCUAACCGUAAGGAGGACGCUUACCACGGUGUGGCCGAUGACUGGGGUGAAGUCGU
rnacentral:rRNA from 1 species